CCCCGCCGGCCAGAGAAAGAGCGCGACCUCCGAAAACUGAACACGGAGCACGAUCGCUGGACUAGGCGGCAUCUGCCGAGACAAUGGGAGCGGGAGCCGGACAGGAGGCGGGGCCCGGGGCGGGGCCCGGCCAAUGAUGUUGGACCACCAUGGCCACCCUGCGGUCGUCGUCCUCCCAGUCCCAUAGCUCCUCCUCCCCGAGCAGUGGGUCCUCCCCGCUGCGCAGAGCUGUGGGGACUGGGCCGAGGAGCAUGUCUGCGUCUUCUAGUUCGUCUGUCGCUGUGCCCUGCGAUGACAGGGACUCGGACCAGACAUCGGAGGGGGAUAGUGAAUCUUUGUCAGCUGGUGAAGGCAGUGACUUCGAAGACAACUUGAGACGAAAUGUAAAGAAGAGAGCAGCAAAACGACCACUCAAAACAACCCCAGUGGCAAAACGUCCAAAGAAGGGGUCCCAAAUGGUACGUGCUCAUGGUCAGAAAGAGUCAGAGCCACCAGCCAGUGAUCUCUUUGAGGCUGUGAAAGCUGCCAAAAGUGACAUGCAGUCUUUGGUAGAUGAGUGGCUGGAUAGCUACAAGCAAGACCAGGAUGCAGGAUUCCUGGAGCUCAUUAACUUUUUCAUCCGAUCAUGUGGAUGUAAAGGCACUGUGACCCCUGAGAUGUUCAAGAAGAUGUCCAACUCGGAGAUCAUCCAGCAGCUAACAGAACAGUUUAAUGAGGACUCAGGAGACUAUCCUCUGAUAGCUCCAGGCCCAUCCUGGAAGAAGUUCCAGGGCAGCUUCUGUGAAUUUGUGAGGACGUUGGUCUAUCGGUGCCAGUAUAGCCUCCUCUAUGAUGGCUUCCCUAUGGACAACCUCAUCUCUCUGCUCACUGGCCUCUCAGACUCCCAAGUCCGUGCCUUCCGUCACACUAGCACCCUGGCUGCCAUGAAGCUGAUGACCUCCUUGGUAAGAGUUGCCUUCCAACUGAGUCUGCACAAGGACAACAAUCAACGUCAGUACGAGACUGAACGAAACAAGGGGCCAGGACAGAGAGCACCUGAGCGACUGGAGAGCCUGUUGGAGAAACGCAAAGAGCUCAGAGAGCAUCAAGAGGAGAUUGAGGGAAUGAUGAAUGCCCUCUUCAGGGGUGUCUUUGUACAUCGGUACAGGGAUGUCCUUCCUGAGAUCCGUGCUAUCUGCAUUGAGGAGAUUGGGUCUUGGAUACAAAGCUACAGUACCUCUUUCCUCACUGACAGCUAUUUAAAAUAUAUUGGCUGGACCCUGCAUGAUAAGCAUCGAGAAGUCCGUCUGAAGUGCUUGAAGGCUCUAAAAGGGCUGUAUGGCAACCGAGACUGGACUGCACGCCUGGAGCUCUUUACCAGCCGCUUUAAGGACCGGUUGGUUUCCAUGGUCAUGGACCGAGAGUAUGACGUGGCAGUGGAGGCCGUCAGGUUACUAACACUUAUUCUUAAGAACAUGGAAGGGAUGCUGACAGAGGCAGACUGUGAGAGCAUCUACCCUGUUGUGUAUGCCUCUAACAGAGCCCUGGCCUCUGCUGUGGGGGAGUUUCUGUACUGGAAGCUUUUCUGCCCUGAGUGUGAGACAAGAACGGUGGGUGAGAGAGAGCGACGCCGAAGUCCACGCUCCCAGAGGACUUUCUUCCACCUUCUGCUGUCCUUUUUUGUGGAGAGUGAGCUCCAUUACCACGCUGCAUACUUAGUAGACAGCCUGUGGGACUGUGCGGGGCCUCAGCUGAAGGACUGGGAGAGUCUGACAAGCCUGCUGCUGGAGAAGGACCAGAGUGUGUGCCACCUGGUAGCCAGGGGAGGGGACCUCUCAUCUCCUAGUAGGAAACCAGGAGAGAUUUCUCUCCUGACUUGUGAAAGACAUAGGUGUCAUGGGCGGUGGGGCGGUGGGGUCCUUGGAGAUGGAGGGUGGCCACCCUGUGAUUCUGUUUUCCAUCCUCCUGCCACCUCAGACCUGGGCGACGUACAGGAGAGCACACUGACAGAAAUCCUUGUGUCCAGUGUCCGGCAAGCUUCCGAGGGUCACCCGCCUGUGGGGCGGGUCACGGGGAGGAAGGGCUUAACACCCAAAGAACGUAAGAUCCAAGCCGACGACAAGGUGAAGCUGACUGAGCACCUCAUCCCCCUGCUUCCCCAGCUCCUGGCCAAGUUCUCAGCUGAUGCAGAGAAGGUUGCUCCCCUGCUGCAGCUUCUCAACUACUUUGACCUCAACAUCUACUGCACCAGGCGCUUGGAGAAACACCUGGAGCUGCUCCUGCAGCAGCUCCAGGAGGUGGUGGUGAAGCACGCAGAACCAGCGGUGCUUGAGGCUGGUGCUCAUGCCCUCUAUCUGCUCUGUAAUCCGGAGUUCACGUUCUUCAGCCGGGUGGACUUUGCCCGCAGCCAACUUGUGGAUCUGCUGACUGACCGCUUCCAGCAGGAGCUUGAAGAGCUGCUGCAGUCUUCCUUCCUAGAUGAGGAUGAGGUGUACAGUCUGGCAGCCACCCUGAAGCGCCUCUCUGCCUUCUACAAUGCCCAUGACCUAACUCGCUGGGAGCUCUAUGAGCCCUGCUACCAACUCCUCCGGAAGGCUGUGGACACAGGAGAGGUUCCUCACCAGGUGAUCUUACCAGCCUUGACUCUUGUCUAUUUUUCCAUUCUCUGGACACUAACCCACGUAUCUGGAUCAGAUGCUUCCCAGAAGCAGCUGUUGAAUUUGAAGGGCAGGAUGGUGGCCUUCUGUGAACUCUGCCAGAACUGCCUCUCAGAUGUGGAUCCUGAGAUUCAGGAGCAGGCUUUUGUAUUGUUAAGUGAUCUGCUGCUCAUCUUCGGCCCUCAGAUGAUUGUCGGGGGACGAGAGUUCCUUAGGCCCCUUGUCUUUAUUCCUGAAGCCACUCUCCAGUCUGAGCUGGCCAGCUUCCUCAUGGACCACGUCUUCAUCCAGCCUGGAGGACUGGGCAGUGGUCAUUCCCAGGAGGAUCAUUUACAGAUAGAGCAGCUGCACCAGCGGCGCCGCCUCCUGGCUGGGUUCUGCAAGCUGUUGCUUUAUGGGGUGCUGGAGAUGGACGCAGCCUCGGAUGUUUUCAAACACUACAACAAGUUCUACAAUGACUAUGGUGACAUUAUCAAGGAAACGUUAACUAGAGCAAGGCAGAUUGACCGAAGUCACUGUUCCCGAAUCCUGCUGCUGAGCCUCAAGCAGUUAUACACAGAACUGCUGCAGGAACAGGGGCCCCAGGGCCUGAAUGAGCUUCCAGCCUUCAUCGAGAUGAGGGACCUGGCCAGGAGGUUUGCCUUGAGCUUUGGACCCCAGCAGCUACAGAACCGUGACCUUGUGGUCAUGCUACACAAGGAAGGCAUCAGGUUCUCCUUGUCUGAGCUUCCUCCAGCUGGCUCCUCCAGUCAGCCCCCAAAUCUGGCAUUCCUGGAGCUCCUUUCAGAGUUCUCCCCCCGACUCUUCCAUCAGGACAAGCAGCUGCUACUGUCCUACCUGGAAAAGUGUCUGCAACGUGUCUCCCAGGCACCUGGCCGUCCCUGGGGUCCAGUCACCACCUACUGCCAGUCCCUCAGCCCUGUAGAGAGUACAGCAGAGGCCAAUCCUCAGGGCUACCCCCGCUCCAAGAAGAGGCGCAUUGAAGGCCCCUCCAGGCGGCACAGAGAGGACAUCUCUGCAUCACAGGAGGAAAGCCUACAGCUGAACAGUAUCCCACCCACACCCACCCUCACCUCAACGGCUGUGAAAAGUAGGCAGCCCCUGGGGGGAUUGGAAGAGAUGGAAGAAGGCGGCGGCUCAGAAUUGGCAUUUACCCAAGGCCAGCCCCUUUUAGGUGCCCAGAGGUUAAGGUCCUCGAGUCCACAGCAUUUCCAGACUCCACUCAACUCUUUGGGUCCUGGUCUGGGCAGCCGGCUGACCCGAACUGGAAGCAGAUGUGAGGGAGAGAAACUAUUGUGAUUCUCCUCUGUCCUGAUGAUGCCUUGUCCUUGGAAGCUGCCCAAGAUGUUUUGAAAGAAUCAUAGAGUAAAGGAGGAAGGGUUUCAGUCUUCCCCCAGUGAGCACGGGCUGGACCUCUUAGAUUUUACAGAGCUGAACACUGAGGAUUUCUGACAUGAUCCUAUGUCCCUCCCCAUCUCCACUCCCCAUCUCCACUCCGCACCUCUACGACAUGACCACUUGGAAAAGGCCAAUGGGAAACGGAGCAAAAGGAAUCAUCACUUCCCCUUCCCCUUCCCCAGGGGAAGGAGAGGUGGGCUGUGCCUUUCUAACCUGACCUUUCUCUGACUGACCUUUCUCUGAUGCUGCUAGGAUAGAGCAGUCAUAAGCCCCCUGUCCUUCCUGGUGCACCAUGGCUCUGUCCCUCUGUUUGAGCAGAGUGCCUAUUUUCUGCUGUUUGGAGGGGUGGGAGCUUCGCCUCAGUAUUGGAGAGGGGCACUGCCUGUGUUGAAUGGAAGGAGCCCAUUAGUUUUUCUGUAUUUUGGGAAUGUCUUUCCUAGCCUCUUUUGUGCCUUGCUGAUUUAGCUCAAUAAACAUGUUUGAGUCAA